GCCUUCUUAGCUCAGUUGGUUAGAGCGUCGGUCUUGUAAACCGAAGGUCUGGAGUUCGACUCUCCAAGUGGGCA
rnacentral:tRNA from 1 species